AAUGGAACGGUUCAUUCUGAAAAUAUCAAAACUGGCCAUUUUGACAUUUAAUUUUUUUUUCAAAAAUGAACAAUUCAGCAAAAUCAACACAAAGUCACAAACCAUUUUGGUGUCACUCAAUCUCCAUUCUUUGCCNNNNNNNNNNNNNNNNNNNNGAAAAAAAAAGUUGUGUGUGAAAAGCUUUUUGCCUAACUCUGGCGUUAACUCUGCGUUGAAGAAAAGCCCAGAAAGUUCUGGCUGCUCCCGUUUGACGCUGAAUCGUUAGAAACGAUGUGUGCCCCUGAAUCCUCUCUAGAGGGGAUUUGCUUUUCCACUCACCCAAACAUAAUUCCCGUAAUACAAUAUAAAGUAAUGACUGUUACCUUAUCACAACUGGCCCCACUCGGGACUUUCCAGCAGCAAGAAACCGAAAGCGAAAGGUCUGACGUCACAGAGUUUUCACGCUGUUGCGGGGGCGAAAGGGGCUAACUCUAUAUAAGGAGGAGGCCGUAGGGAAGAUCCCACAUCACUUUUGGGACAAGCGAUCAGCACCGUGCCCCACUGGGCCUUUCUAAUUCUGCAGCCCAGCAUUUCGCCCGAGCUGAAUCGGAUCAUCCAGUGGACGUGGAACAGCCGUCGCUGCAGCCCCUGAAGUGAGAGACCAGACGUGGCACAAGCUCAGCAGCAUCUGAGAGAGCUCACCUGGAGAAUUACUCUUGGCUGAAGUGAACAUGCUACAUAGGUGCAAAGAUGAGUUGCCAGGAAAUAUUCAUCAGCAGCAUGACAUCACAUGGAAGAAUGUGCUCUACUUCUAAAGCAAGUUACUCUUCCAGUAACCACACAUCCCUACCUGAAGAAAAGAGACAAAUCGCAGAAACAGCAAAGCAGAGAGCAAUUGAGAUUCUGAGAGAUGCCCUGAAGAAGAAGGACCGAGUGCUGAUGGAGAAGCCCCAGGAGCUGUUUUCCGGUGAUAGUGGAGAUCCCAAAUCCUGGAUGAAACGCCAUGCGAUACUGACAGAAAAGUUAGUUCGAGAUCUCAUCUCAGAGCUGGAAGCUGUGAAGUUUAAGGAGGAUCUAACAGAGAAAAAUACGUAUGCAUAUGUUUAUUCAAAGUCUGGAGACAAAACGGUAUAUUUGUGCCCACUGUUCUGGAAGGCUUCUACAGAUCUUGGGAAAGAUUCCCAGCCAGGGACUCUUAUCCAUGAAGUGUCUCACUUCCUGGGGAUACGAGAUAUCACCUAUCACGAAGCCAGUAUCUCUGUUGCCUGCAGAGGGAAGUUAGUAGAAGGGAAAUCAGGCUCCUGUGCCUCAGAUCUGAAUCCCCUUGAGAAAGCACUAUUAAAUGCUAACAACAUUGAGUAUGAAUUUGAAAUUACCCUAAAUCACAAAGGAAAAUACGAGAAUGGAAAAUACACCUGCUGUGGGGAAGAAGCCGUGAACUCAGUUUGUGAGAGAGUUGUGCCUGAUGAGUUUCUUACCUGCAAUUUCCAGGGAAGCGAGAAGAGGAAGAACAUUGGUGAAAUUAUGGAGGAGUCAUUACUGCCCACAGCAAACAGACUGGAGAGUCACGUAACCCAACUUAGAAACCUCGCAGAUGAAAUUGAUGAAACUCAUAAAAGUGCUACAAAAGCAAAUGGUUGUGGUGGGUCAAUGGGAAUUGGUGGAGGGGUGGCUGGCCUAGCUGGACUGGUGCAGGCUCCAUUUACAUUUGGAGGAUCCCUAGCAGUCCCUAUGGCUUGCCUUGCUGUUUCUACGGGAGGACGAGUUACCAGGGCUGCAGCAACCAUCACAGAUGCGGUGACAAGUUCAAACAAAAAGAAAGAAGUGGAGAAGAUCUUAAAGGAAUGUCAGGAUAUGCUGGAACGUAUUGAGAGGGAAUUCAAAAUCCGUACAAAUGGCAGAGAUACUGAUUCAUCAUUAGUCCUAAAGACGAGUUUAGGAGCUGGCACAACAGGACUUUCAGCUGAAAUCCGAACAGAAGCUGCAAAAAUAGAAAAAGUCAUUGAAACAGUAAAUAAGUUUUACGGAUCAGUAGAAAGAAAAUAGGCAAACAAAACUGCGUAUUUGCAGCAUGAAAUUACUGUGGCUGAAAUCGUUUCUCUCUAAGAAAGUUCAGAAUCCAAAUAAGGUUUGAUGGACAAUCUAUUGGGGAAACAGAUCACAUGUAGAACCUGCUGUAACUGCCCUUUCUUUAGAAGCCUAAGAACACAUCCCUGCAAAUAAGAGGUUCCACACCAUGUCUGACAGCUAGUUCGAAUGAAUAAAACAGAGGCUGUGUCUUCA
ensembl:lncRNA